rnacentral:tRNA from 1 species
UAGCUCAAUGGUGCAGCACGUGUCUGGUGAGCACAAGGUCCUGAGUUUGAUUCUCAG